rnacentral:tRNA from 1 species
GUGGGUGUAGCUCAAUGGUAGAGCUCUUGCUGAGCAUUCACAAUGCUCUGGGUUCAAUCCCCAGCACUACA